UGUUUCUCAUGUGUAACAUCUAAAAUGUAACUUCCGGAGUUCCUGUCGUGGCGCAGUGGUUAACGAAUCCGACUAGAAACCAUGAGGUUGCGGGUUUGGUCCCUGCCCUUGCUCAGUGGGUUAAGGAUCUGGCGUUGCUGUGAGCUGUGGUGUAGGUUGCAGAUGCGGUUCGGAUCCCACAUUGCUGUGGCUCUGGAGUAGGCCAGUGGCUACAGCUCCAAUUCGACCCCUAGCCUGGGAACCUCCAUAUGCCGCAGGAGCGGCCCAAAGAAAUAGCAAGGAGACAAAAGGAAAAAAAAAUAAUAAUAAUAAUAAAAUGUAACUUCUUCCACCAGGAAGGAAGCUGUUUUGUUCACUGAUGAAUCCUAAGCACCUAGGAUUGUAUGACCCAUGGUAAGCACUUAAUAAAAAUUUGUUGACUGAAUGAAUAGCAGCAUUCUUAAAUAUACUUAACCAAUAUGAGCUAAAAUUUAAAUAGUUCUAGAGUUAGGUGAAGAAACACUCUGAUCUACAAAACUUAUAAAUACAUUCCCGAAAUAUGAUGCCUUACUAGGCAUUCCUUGCUCUCUGAAAAGGGAAUUCCUGGCUCUCUGAAAAGGGAAAACAAAGGUUUUCUUUUGGGGGGGGGGUGCUGUACCCACAGCACAUGGAAAUUCCUGGACCAGGGACUGAACCCUUGCCGCAGUUGUGACCUACACAACAGCUACAGCAACACUGGAUCUUUAACCUGCUGUGCCACAUGGAAACUGAGUUUUCUUUUUUUUCUUGUUUUUGCUGGGGCCGCAGCAUGGCAUAUGGAGGUUCCCAGGCUAGGAGUUGAAUUGGAGCUGUAGGUACUGGCCUACGCCACAGCCAAAGCAACGCAGGAUCCAAGCCUCAUCUUUGACCUACACCAGAGCCCACAGCAAUCCUAGAUCCUUAACCCACUGAGCAAGGCCAGGGAUGGAAACUGCAUCUUCAUGGAUGCUAGUCAGAUUCGUUUCUACUGAACCAUGAUGGGAAUUCUGGAAACUGAGUCUUCAAUGUAGCACUGGGACCAGCCAGAUCUGAAUCAAAUGACUUUACAAAGUAGUCAGCUUAAAUAUGGUCCCUGAUUCUUGCUGCCUCCUGGUAUUCACACCAUUUAAUAGUCCCUUCUAAAAAUAAAUCAGGGUUGAUGUAAGUGACUACUGUAUAAUAAAUGUGACUGGCUUUUAUCCCUAGAUGGAGACUAUGAAUCCUUGCAUAGUAAAUGAACCAAUGGAAAUUAAACAACACACUCCUAAAUAACCAAUGGGUAAAAAUUUAAAAAUAUGUUCAGACAAAUGAAAACAAAAACACAACAUACCAAAACUUAUGGGAUACAGCAAAAGCAGCACUAAGAGAGAAAUUCAUAGCUAUAAAUGCUUAAAUUAAAAAAGAAAGUUAGGAGUUCCUGCUGUGAUGCAGUGGGUUAAGAAUCCUAUUGCAAGGGCGUAGGUCUCUGCGGAGGUGCAAAUUCAAUCCCCCACCAAGCGCAGUAGAUUAAAGAAUUAAAGGAUCCAGUGUUGCCACAGCCGAAGCUUGGAUUCAAUCCCUGGCCUGGGAACUUCCAUAUGCCCCCCCCCGGGGGGGGAAAUCAAAUCAACAACCUAACUUUAGAUCUAAAGGAAUUAGAAAAAGAAUAAACUAAGCCCAAAACUAGCAAGAAGGAAGGGAAAAAAAAUAUUAGAGCUCGGCUAGAGAACAGAAAAACAACAGAGAAAAAUCAAUGAAAUCAAAGGUUGGCUCUGAUGUCAUGGGAGCCCCACUUGGUCAGAAAUGCAAGUGCUCUGGGGAUCCUCCAAAGUGCUACUCGCAUCUAAAAUGAGGGCAGUUUUGUUGGGGAUUAUACCCUUUGACUUAUGGGGUAUGCAUUAAUUCUAGAUAGUUAAGCCUCGGAACUGUAUUGCAGUAUACUGUUAGUGUCAAAAUAGUGACCAACAGAAUGAGGAGGAAGUGAUAGUGACUUCUGAAGCAAGGUCAUAGAUGAGAUUGUGGUUUCUGGCUUGAACUGCUUGUUCUGGGAGAAGACAGCUCUAUAGUAUGAGGACACUCAAGUAGCCCUGGAAGCCACUGACAAUGGAAGGAACUGAGACUUUCAAAAACCAGUAAGAAUUUGUAGCCUGUGAAUAAGCCACCAUGGAAUCAGAUUAGAUGACUCCCACCUCAUCUUGAUCACAACCUUAAAAGAGACCCCAAGCCAAAAACCCCCAUUCAAGCUGCUCUCUAACUCCUGAACCACAAAAACUAUGAGAUAAUAAAUGUUUACUGUGAUUUUCUAAUCCACUAAGUUUUGGGUAAUUUGUUAUACAUCAAUAAUAGCUCAGACUACUCUGCUUCCUCUAACGACAGAAAAAAAUGAUAUAACUGUGAAAGUUAAAUACUUUCUUAUUUUGCUAUGUUAAUAGUAAAUUCAGGGAGUUCCCGUGGUGGCUCAGCAGUUAAGGAAUCUGACGAGGAACCGUAAGGUUUUGGGUUCCAUCCCUGGCCUCGCUCAGUGGGUUAAGGAUCCAGCAUUGCUGUGAGCUGAGUUGUAGGUCGCAGACAAAGCUCAGAUCCCCCACUGCUGUGGCUGUGGUGUAGGCCGGCGGCUCCAACUCCAAUAUGACCCCUAGCCUGGGAACUUCCCUAUGCCAAGGGUGCACCCUAAAAAGCACCUCCCCCAAGCCAAAAAAAGAGAGAGAGACAAGAGGCCCAAAAUGGUGUCUCCUGUGCUAAAUCCAGAUCACCAAACCAAAACUAAUACCUAACCCAACUACGGUUUCAACUUCUUCCAGGAACGUUACCUUUACUCAGUCAAUCUGGAAUUACCUGCUCAGCAGAACC
ensembl:lncRNA